UACGUAGGGUGCGAGCGUUGUCCGGAAUUAUUGGGCGUAAAGAGCUCGUAGGCGGUGUGUCGCGUCGGCCGUGAAAACCUGGGGCUCAACUCUGGGCGUGCGGUCGAUACGGGCAUCACUUGAGUUCGGCAGGGGAGACUGGAACUCCUGGUGUAGCGGUGAAAUGCGCAGAUAUCAGGAGGAACACCGGUGGCGAAGGCGGGUCUCUGGGCCGAUGACUGACGCUGAGGAGCGAAAGCAUGGGUAGCGAACAGG
rnacentral:rRNA from 1 species